rnacentral:rRNA from 1 species
UGUAAGCGUAUACCAAAGUUGUUGCAGUUAAAACGCUCGUAGUCGGAAUUUGGCAGUUCCGGAAGUGUGCGCGUCGUGUGCGCACUUUGCGGGGACUGCUUUUGUGGUCUUGCGUAGGAUGAGGCACUUUCAUUAGUGAACGUCCUCACGCAACCACUCUUUACUGUGAGAAAAUCAGAGUGCUCAAAGCAGGCAUUUGCCGUGAAUGUAUUAGCAUGGAAUAAUAGAAUAGGACUCGGUUCUAUUUUGUUGGUUUGUUGGGACUGAGUAAUGAUUAAGAGGGACAGUUGGGGGCAUUUGUAUUCCGGCGCUAGAGGUGAAAUUCUUAGAUUGCCGGAAGACAAACUGCUGCGAAAGCGUCUGCCAAGGAUGUUUUCAUUGA